UAGGGAAUCUUCGGCAAUGGGGGGAACCCUGACCGAGCAACGCCGCGUGAGUGAAGAAGGUUUUCGGAUCGUAAAGCUCCGUUGUUAAGGAAGAACGAGUGUGAGAAUGGAAAGUUCAUGCUGUGACGGUACUUAACCAGAAAGGGACGGCUAACUACGUGCCAGCAGCCGCGGUAAUACGUAGGUCCCGAGCGUUGUCCGGAUUUAUUGGGCGUAAAGCGAGCGCUGGCGGUCAAUUAAGUCUGAUGUGAAAGCCCCCGGCUCAACCGGGGAGGGUCGUUUGAAACUGGUUGACUUGAGUGCAGGAGAGGAGAGUGGAAUUCCAUGUGUAGCGGUGAAAUGCGUAGAUAUAUGGAGGAACACCAGUGGCGAAGGCGACUCUCUGGUCUGUAACUGACGCGGAGGUUCGAAAGCGUGGGUAACAAACAGG
rnacentral:rRNA from 1 species